UACGAAGGGGGCUAGCGUUGUUCGGAAUUACUGGGCGUAAAGCGCGUGUAGGCGGGUCUUUAAGUCAGGGGUGAAAUGCCAAGGCUCAACCUUGGAACUGCCUUUGAUACUGGAGAUCUUGGGUCCGGGAGAGGUGAGUGGAAUUGCGAGUGUAGAGGUGAAAUUCGUAGAUAUUCGCAAGAACACCAGUGGCGAAGGCGGCUCACUGGCCCGGAACUGACGCUGAGACGCGAAAGCGUGGGGAGCAAACAGGG
rnacentral:rRNA from 1 species